AUUGAACGCUGGCGGCAUGCCUUACACAUGCAAGUCGAACGGCAGCACGGGAGCAAUCCUGGUGGCGAGUGGCGAACGGGUGAGUAAAGCAUCGGAACGUGCCCAGUCGUGGGGGAUAACGUAGCGAAAGCUACGCUAAUACCGCAUACGAUCUGUGGAUGAAAGCGGGGGACCGUAAGGCCUCGCGCGAUUGGAGCGGCCGAUGUCAGAUUAGGUAGUUGGUGGGGUAAAGGCUCACCAAGCCGACGAUCUGUAGCUGGUCUGAGAGGACGACCAGCCACACUGGGACUGGGACACGGCCCAGACUCCUACGGGAGGCAGCAGUGGGGAAUUUUGGACAAUGGGCGCAAGCCUGAUCCAGCAAUGCCGCGUGCAGGAUGAAGGCCUUCGGGUUGUAAACUGCUUUUGUACGGAGCGAAACGGCUUCCACUAAUACUGGGGGCUAAUGACGGUACCGUAAGAAUAAGCACCGGCUAACUACGUGCCAGCAGCCGCAGUAAGAC
rnacentral:rRNA from 1 species